GUAGGAUAUGGACAGAUGCUGGCUGAACAGUAGAUAUAGGACAGAUAUAGCCUCUGAACAGUAGGAUAUAGGACAGAUAUAGCCUCUGAAACAGUAGGAUAUAGGACAGAUGCUGGCUGAACAGUAGGAUAUAGGACAGAUAUAGCCUCUGAACAGUAGGAUAUAGGACAGAUAUAGCCUCUGAACAGUAGGAUAUAGGACAGAUGCUGGCUGAACAGUAGAAUAUGGACAAUGAUAUAGCCUCUGAACAGUGGAUAUAGGAAGAUGCUGGCUGACACAGUAGGAUAUAGGACAGAUAUAGCCUCUGAACAGUGUAUGUUCCCUAUAUGCAUGUAUUAUAGUGGAUUUGUUUGCUGACUUCACAAAAUAAAUGUCCAUGUAAAUGGCUAGGUCUAAAUGUCGAUGUAAAUGGGCUAGGUCUAAAUGGGCUAGGUCUAAAUGUCCAUGUAAAUGGGCUAAGUCUAAAUGGGCUAGGUCUAAAUGUCAGUGUAAAUGGGCUAAGUCUUAAUG
rnacentral:lncRNA from 1 species